rnacentral:rRNA from 1 species
CAAGUCGAACGAUUAAAGCUCCCUUCGGGGAGUGCAUAAAGUGGCGCACGGGUGAGUAACACGUAAGUAAUCUACCUUCGAGUGGGGAAUAACAGUCGGAAACGACUGCUAAUACCGCAUAAUGCAGCGGCACCUAAUGGUGACAGUUGUUAAAGGAGUAAUUCGCUUGAAGAGGAGCUUGCGGCAGAUUAGCUAGUUGGUAAGGUAAUGGCUUACCAAGGCUACGAUCUGUAACCGGUCUAAGAGGACGGUCGGUCACACUGACACUGAACAACGGGUCAGACUCCUACGGGAGGCAGCAGUCGGGAAUUUUGGGCAAUGGGCGAAAGCCUGACCCAGCAACGCCGCGUGAAGGAUGAAGUAUUUCGGUAUGUAAACUUCGAAAGAAUGGGAAGAAUAAAUGACGGUACCAUUUAUAAGGUCCGGCUAACUACGUGCCAGCAGCCGCGGUAAUACGUAGGGACCAAGCGUUGUUCGGAUUUACUGGGCGUAAAGGGCGCGUAGGCGGCCUAACAAGUCACUUGUGAAAUCUCCGGGCUUAACUCGGAACUGCCAAGUGAAACUGUCAGGCUAGAGUGCAGAAGGGGCAAUCGGAAUUCUUGGUGUAGCGGUGAAAUGCGUAGAUAUCAAGAGGAACACCUGAGGUGAAGACGGGUUGCUGGGCUGACACUGACGCUGAGGCGCGAAAGCCAGGGGAGCAAACGGGAUUAGAUACCCCGGUAGUCCUGGCCCUAAACGAUGAAUACUUGGUGUCUGGAGUUUAUAGUGCUCCGGGUGCCGUCGCUAACGUUUUUAGUAUUCCGCCUGGGGAGUACGCUCGCAAGAGUGAAACUCAAAGGAAUUGACGGGGACCGCACAAGCGGUGGA